CCCAAAAUUUCCCCUCCUUUUUUUUUCUUCUCUCUUGCUAUCUUUUAGUCGUGCUCAUCUCUCUCUCUCAACAGCGUAGAGCAACAAAGGCGACGACGUGCAGCAGCAUCCAGCAGCAAUAGCAUCACUCUCAGUCGCUCAUCUCUUUCUCUCUCUCAGUGGCGUCUCUCUCUUUCUCUUUCGUACGCUCACUCAGUCUCAAUCGCCUUUCUCUCACUCACUUAGCGGUGUAAAGCAAUGAGGUGGCGUAGAGCGACUACGAGUUGCGACGGCGAGUAAGGGCAGUGGCAAUAGUAUCCCACUCAUCGUCAUUUUCUCCAAGUCUUACUGCCCUGGGUCUCCACUAUUUUGGAUUCGAGUUGGUGUUGGUCUCUCUGCACUUUUCUCAUGGGUGGCUACAAACUUAAAGAUUCGAGAUUAGAUAUGGACAUGUUUCGUAAUUUGGAGAGCAAAAGCUAGCUCAUUUUGUGUUUUUGUUCAUAUUAGCUUUACAUGUAUCUUGGUUACGUUGUAAAUUUUAUAUUUUUGUGGAUAUUACAGGACAUGUUUGGUAAUCCGCACUUGAUAUUAUAUUUUUGUGGAUUUUAGUAGACAUGUCUUUUGUGGAUAUUAGGAGACGUGUUUGGUAAUCCGCAUGCGGUUGAUAUUGUAUUGUUGUAGAUAUUAGUAGACAUGUCUUUUGUGGAUAUUAUGAGA